UACAGAGGGUGCAAGCGUUGCUCGGAAUCAUUGGGCGUAAAGGGUAGGUAGGUGGUCUCAUUUGUCUGGGGUGAAAGCCCAGGGCUUAACCCUGGAAGUGCCCCGGAAACGGUGAGACUGGAGUACUGGAGAGGGUCGUGGAAUUCCCGGUGUAGCGGUGAAAUGCGUAGAGAUGCGGAGGAACACCGAUGGCGAAGGCAGCCCCCUGGGCUGACACUGACGCUCAGGCACGAAAGCGUGGGGAGCAAACAGG
rnacentral:rRNA from 1 species